rnacentral:rRNA from 1 species
GACGAACGCUGGCGGCGUGCUUAACACAUGCAAGUCGAACGGAAAGGCCCUGCUUUUGUGGGGUGCUCGAGGGGCGAACGGGUGAGUAACACGUGAGUAACCUGCCCUUGACUUUGGGAUAACUUCAGGAAACUGGGGCUAAUACCGGAUAGGAUCUCUUGCUGCAUGGUGGGGGUUGGAAAGUUUCGCUGGUUGGGGAUGGACUCGCGGCCUAUCAGCUUGUUGGUGGGGUAGUGGCUUACCAAGGCUUUGCCGGGUAGCAGGGCUGAGAGGGUGACCGGCCACAUUGGGACUGAGAUACGGCACAGACUCGUACGGGAGGCAGCAGUGGGGAAUAGUGCACAAUGGGCGGAAGCCUGAUGUGGCAACGCAGCGUGCGGGAUGACGGCAUUCGGGUUGUAAACCAAUUUCGCCUGUGACGAAGCGUGAGUGACGGUAAUGGGUAAAGAAGCACCGGCUAACUACGUG